rnacentral:rRNA from 1 species
UUCUGGCUCAGACGAACGCUGGCGGCAUGGAUUAGGCAUGCAAGUCGAACGAAGUAGCAAUACUAGUGGCGCAAGGGUGAGGAACGCGUGAGUGACUUACCGCAAGUUUGGAACAGCUCCUGGAAACGGGAAUUAAUACCGGAUGUGAUCAACGGGCUGCAUGGUUUGUUGAUUAAAGCAGUAAUGCGCUUGCGGAUGGGCUCGCGUCCCAUUAGCUAGUUGGUGAGGUAACGGCCCACCAAGGCCAUGAUGGGUAGCUGGUCUGAGAGGACGACCAGCCACACUGGGACUGAGAACUGCCCAGACUCCUACGGGAGGCUGCAGUCGAGAAUUUUGGGCAAUGGACGAAAGUCUGAACCCCCAGCAAUGCCGCGUGCGGGAUGAAGGUCUUCGGAUUGUAAACCGCUGUUUGGAGGGACGAAAUUUGACGGUACUUCCAGAGAAAGCCACGGCUAACUACGUGCCAGCCGCAGC